GGAGUGCUUUUGGUGUAGAAAAAUGAGAAAAUCACAGACCCAGUCGCUGCUUUCUACACACAGCGGACGUUACAGCUACCUCUAAUACGCCAUUCAUUGCGUUCUCUCUCCAUCUCUCUCUCUCUGUGAUCGUAGAAACCCUUUUUGCAUUGAACUUCUCUCGGUCCUCUCCCGCCCUCUGCCUCGGUUUCUCAGAAGGAAUCAGUUAAACGUCGUCUUCGUCGACUCCGAGCACCAAAGCGGCAUAGAAUACUGUUGGGGACUUUUUCAGAGGCUAGUUUUGCCAUGGAGAGCUCUGAUGAUGAAAAAGAUGGAAUCCUUGGGAAUUACAUUCCAAAAGAACUGGCCCAUGGUUUGGCAUCUAGUGGAGCAAAAUUUGUCGAUGAAGUACUUAAUAGCCAAAGUGAACACUGCUUGGAAAAUUUUCGCAUGGAUAAGCAUGUAUUUUACAAGUUGUGUGAUAUUUUGCAAGCCAAAGGCUUGCUACGUCACACAAAUCGAAUCAAGAUUGAGGAACAAUUAGCCAUUUUCAUGUUCAUAAUUGGCCACAAUCUACGUACAAGAGCUGUCCAAGAGUUAUUCCGAUAUUCAGGAGAAACCAUCAGUCGCCAUUUCAAUAAUGUUUUGAAUGCAAUUAUGGCAAUUUCUUUAGACUUCUUUCAGCCUCCGGGUUCAGAGAUCUUGGAAGAUCCAAGAUUCUAUCCAUACUUUCAGGAUUGUGUGGGAGCAGUUGAUGGUAUCCAUAUUCCAGUUAUGGUAGGUGUAGAUGAGCAAGGACCUUUCCGCAAUAAGAAUGGCAUGCUUUCACAAAAUGUUCUGGCAGCUUGCUCAUUUGAUCUCAAGUUCCAUUAUGUUCUAGCCGGCUGGGAAGGCUCAGCAUCAGAUUUGCAAGUCCUAAAUUCUGCACUGACAAGGCGAAACAAACUGCUGGUCCCUGAAGGUAAAUACUACCUUGUAGACAACAAGUAUGCAAAUAUGCCAGGUUUCAUUGCCCCAUAUCCAGGUGUUCCAUAUUGCUUAAAGGAAUAUCCGAGUGGCUAUCAUCCACAAGAUGCCAGAGAGCUAUUUAAUCAACGACACUCGUUGUUACGAAAUGCCACUGAUCGGAUCUUUGGCGCUUUGAAGGCACGAUUCCCAAUAUUGAUGUCUGCUCCUCCAUACCCAUUACAAACACAGGUCAAGUUGGUUGUGGCAACAUGUGCAAUACACAAUUACAUCCGGAGGGAGAAACCAGAUGAUUGGAUUUUUAGAAAGUAUGAACAGGACAGCACGGCAUUACAAAUCGAGUCGUUGUUGCCCCCUUUAGAGGCGGAACAACCCAUUAUGCAUAUUGAUACCCAAGCUCUGGACAUUGGCGUUGAAGCAGAACAACUAGAAAUCUCUUCACAAUUGCGAGACUCCAUUGCAACUGAUAUUUGGAAUGACUACAUCCAUGAUUUUUCAGCCAUGUAAAUCAUCUUUGGUAACAGUUUCAGGUUAGGAUUGAAAUUAUUUCAGGAUCGAGAACCAUAUGAAGAUUUUGGUUGUGAUUCCAUGCUGUACAUUGGCCCUUCUGUUCAUAGAAAGGAAAGAUAUGGGUAGAUCAUACAUUUCAAACAUUGCGUUGUCACAUGGUUUCCUGAAAGGUGGCGACUGAACAGGAAGUUGAUCACAGACUACCUUUCAUUACUUCUGAGAGGCCAACCAAUCUGUUGAUAUUGAUGCAAAAAGUUUGAUCUUAAAUUUCUAAGGAUCGGUGAUCUGUGUGAUGUGGGCACGUUAGCCGGUUCGUGAAUUUAAUCAAGUAAAAGACAUGUUUCGUUUGCACGUCUUGAGAAUUUCUCGUCGCCCUCUCCGCUAUCUUAAAUUUUUGAGAAAUACUUAUAAAGAUAUUAUAAAAAAUAAUCUCAUGAACUGAUGUGUCUUUAUGUAAUUUGUCAGAUUAUAAAAUUAUUUUUAUUGUAAAAUAGAUCUAAUGAAUUUUAUGAAGUUAUGUAGAUUAUUUUUAUAUAAUCUUUUUAGCUGGAUCUCACCUCAGACCUACACAUGAUCCCCUAAUCCCAAUAUAACGUCGCCAGAAUGGAGUUGGGCCAGCUGUGUGUGGAUUGCUCCUGUCCCUGACUGAACUGAACUGUUGAAUGAAUGCAUAUAC